CUGAAAUGGUUAACUGUGUUUCUCUCUCCACAGAUGUCUGACCUGCUGAGUAAUUCCAUCAUUUGCUGUUUUCAUUCUAGUUAGGUUGAACAGGAUUGGAGGAGGCAAGAAUUCACAACUAAAUGCAAGCCAUUAAGAUGAUCAACCUGUGCUGUGAGGCAAGUUAAUGGACCCAGUGCACAGAUUAUGGAAUCCAGCAAGACAGAGAGACUCCCAGACACUGCCACCAUACCCUAAGAAAGAGAAAAAUAGUUUCAACUAUCCAUUUUAGAAACUCAGUCUUUGCUGAUUUUGUAAUAUAGGAUUGAACAUACCUUUCUUGAUUUGGAAAUUCGUUAUGUGGAAGUGCACCAUACUACGUUGAGUGCCCUGGCUUCAUCUCUCAGCAGUUUUGGUUUGUUUUCAAGUAACUGCUACACCCAAUAAAAAAUGUCCUGACAGUGACAAUAAAUGCUAAAUUUCUACUAUAAUUGGCAUGAAAACAUGCUUCCUCAGUUCAUUCUAAAACACCUCAACUUUAGUUUUAAGAUGAUGUCCUCUUGUUCUAGACUCCCUAUCAGAAAAAAAAUGUUUCCCUUGUAUCUACACUUCCAAGUUCCUUUUUGAAAGUCAUGAUCAGAUAGACAGACAGACAUACUUUAUUGAUCCCGAGGGGAAUUGGGUUUUGUUACCGCCGCACCAAGAAUAGUGAAGAAAUACAGCAAUAUAAAACCAUAAAUAAUUAAAUAAUAAUAAGUUAAUCAUGCCAAGUGGAAAUAAGCCCAGGACCAGCCUAUUGACUCGGGUGUCUGACACUCCUAGGGAGGAGUUGUAAAGUUUGAUGGCCGCAGGUAGGAAUGACUUCCUAUGACGCUCAGUGUUACAUCUCAGUGGAAUGAGUCUCUGGGUGAAUGUACUCCUGUGAAUGAGAUAUUACUGAACUUCUGAACUACAGAGAAUUAAAAGAUUGUUUUACUUAGCCAAUGUUCAUAAUUAAACUAUUUAGGCCUGAGUGUGAAAUGUACAUAAUCUAAAGGUGAAUAAAUACUGACAUCCAGUGUCCAAAACUGAACAUCACGCUCUUGAUUGGGUCUCAGCAUAGCUUAACAUGCCAGAAAAAUUAUUUCCCUAUUUUAGCAUAUUUUUAAUUACAUUUCACAUCAGUCAUAGUUAGUGCACGACGUGUGUCAAUAGACCUGAAUACUUUGUUUCUAACACUUCUAUCGGCAUGAAAAUUGUUUUCAGAUCCAAAAGUCAAAGUCUUCACAGUUAAAACUUAGAACUCUACAGCACCGAACAGGCCCUUCAGCCCACAAUGUUGAGCUGGCCUUUUAACAUACUCCACAGUCAACCUAAUCAUUCCCUCCUAUAUAGCCCAUAACCCUCCAUUUUACUGACAUUCAUGUGUCUAUCUAAGAGUCUCUUAAAUGUCCCUAUAUUAUCAGCCCCUACCUGGAGUGCAUUCCAAACACUUACCACUCUUUCUGUGUAAAAAAAAACCUACCUCUGACACCACACCUAAACUUUCCUUGAACAAGAUGUCCUCUGGAAUUGGCCAUUGCCACCCCAGGAAAAAGGCACUUAAAUCUAUGCCUCGCAUUAUCUUAUACACUUCUAUCAAGUCAUCGCUCAUCUUCCUUCACUCCAAAGAGAAAAGCCCUAGCUCGCUCAGCUGUUCCUCUUAAGACAUAUUCUCCAAUCAAGGCAGUAUCUUGGUAAAUCUCCUCUGCACCUUCUCAUAAUAAGGUGACUGGAAUUGAAGACAAUACUCCAAGUGUGAUUUAACCAAAGUUUUAUAAAGCUGCAACAUUACCUCAUGACUCUUAAACUCAAUUAACUGACUAAUGAAGACCAACACACCAUAUACCUUCUUAACCACCCUAUCAUCUUCUGUGGCAAGAUGGCGCCGAUAAGUGGCGUCUCUUUAUGGGCAGCUCCGAAAUAAAUCAUCAAAUAUUCCUGUUUAAGAGUACGACAACAACCACAGCCAUGUGACUAUUGUAGUUGUCUUGAACAGAAUUAUUUGAGAAUAUUUAAGCUAUCUAAAAAAUAUUUUGAUCCUCAAAAAUUGACAGACCCCGGACGACAGACUCAAGUGCAGUUUCCCUUUAAGAAAAAUGAAGCAGGGCAGAUGAGCCAGUCUGCAAGUACAAUUGAAACACAGAGGCUUUAGACCUCCACUCCCAACUACCCUGCUGACAAAUGUAUAGUCUCUGUAAAAUAAAACUGAAGGCUUCAAAGAAAGAUUGCAGUACAGGCAUGUGCAGACUUUUUUUUCUUGUCAUUAUUCCCUAAACAAUGCAGUAUAACAACCAUUUUACAAAGCAUUUACAUUGUAUUAGGUAUUAUAAGUAAUUUAGAGAUGAUUUAAAGUAUACAGGAGGAUGUGCAUGGGUUAUCAUGGAUCGGGAUUGAAAAAAAUCAGAUGUUCUCUUACUAAGUAAGUCGGAAC